GAUGAAGAACGCAGUGAAAUGCGAUAAUUAAUGUGAAUUGCAGAAUUCAGUGAAUCAUCGAAUCUUUGAACGCACAUUGCGCCCCCUGGUAUUCCGGGGGGCAUGCCUGUCCGAGCGUCAUUACAACCCUCAAGCUCAGCUUGGUGUUGGGCCCCGCCGCCCCGGCGGGCCCUAAAGUCAGUGGCGGUGCCGUCCGGCUCCGAGCGUAGUAAUUCUUCUCGCUCUGGAGGUCCGGUCGUGUGCUCGCCAGCAACCCCCAAUUUUUUUCAGGUUGACCUCGGAUCAGGUAGGGAUACCCGCUGAACUUAAGCAUAUCAAUAAGCGGAGGA
rnacentral:misc_RNA from 1 species